rnacentral:tRNA from 1 species
GCGCUAGUAGCUCAGCUGGAUAGAGCAACGGCCUUCUAAGCCGUAGGUCGCAGGUUCGAAUCCUGCCUGGCGCACCA